AAACGUAGGAGGCGAGCGUUAUCCGGAUUUACUGGGUGUAAAGCGCGUGCAGGCGGUGACGUAAGUCGUGCGUGAAAGCGCUCUGGCUCAACCGGGCGAGGACGUGCGGAACUGCGUGACUAGAGGCAGGUAGAGGCGUGUGGAAUUCCGGGUGUAGUGGUGAAAUGCGUAGAGAUCCGGAGGAACACCAGUGGCGAAGGCGACGCGCUGGGCCUGGCCUGACGCUAAGACGCGAAAGCAUGGGGAGCGAACGGGAUUAGAGACCCCGGUAGUCCAUGCUGUAAACGAUGCGGACUAGGUGUGGCGGUGAGGAGCCGCUGUGCCGCAGCCAACGUGAUAAGUCCGCCACCUGGGGAGUACGGCCGCAAGGUUAAA
rnacentral:rRNA from 1 species